ensembl:lncRNA
UUUAUACUGUUGCCAUGCCCAUCAAGGCCCUGAUUGGUGAACCGCUGACCCAUUCAUAGCUUAUAACAUACAGUAUUUUCAACUGACAAACAUGAUUACAUUUUCAUUUACCCUGAAAUGAUUAUUCAACAUGUCCUCUCCUGGGAUUUGAACUCACAACCACUUGGUUUGCGGUACUCCGAUCUUCCUGCUACGCCACCAUGACUGUGUAAGUUGUAGGCCCUAACAGCUUUAUGUAGGCCCUAACAGCUCUAAGUAGGCCCUGACAGCUUUAUGUCGGUCCUAACAGCUCUACGUAGGCCCUAACAGCUUUAUGUCGGCCCUAACAGCUUUAUGUCGGUCCUAACAGCUCUACGUAGGCCCUAACAGCUUUAUGUAGGCCCUGACAGCUUUAUGUCGGCCCUGACAGCUUUAUGUCGGCCCUAACAGCUCUACGUAGGCCCUAACAGCUCUACGUAGGCCCUGACAGCUUUAUGCAGGCCCUAACAGCUUUAUGUAGGCCCUGACAGCUUUAUGCAGGCCCUAACAGCUCUACGUAGGCCCUGACAGCUUUAUGUAGGCCCUAACAGCUCUACGUAGGCCCUGACAGCUUUAUGUCGGCCCUAACAGCUUUAUGUAGGCCCUAACAGCUCUACAUAGGCCCUGACAGCUUUAUGCAGGCCCUAACAGCUUUAUGUAGGCUCUAACAGCUUUAUGUAGGCC